UGCUGAGUUGACUCUAAUCCGGCUUUGUGGAACGACUUAGGGGGUGUACCAUAGGUGGGAGCUUCGGCGAUCGUGAAGUACCACUAUCAUCAGUGUCGUUUUACUUAUUUCAUCAAGUUGAGACAUGCGCAGCAUGUGUUUUUGCCUCAGGGCGCACUUUUUGGAGCUGAUCAAUGCGGAAGAGACGGACAGGUGGAGAGCUUGGCUGGGGCGGCACAUAUAGGAAACAACAGCGCAGGUGUCGAAAGGCAGGCUCAAUGAGAACAGAGACUUCAUGCCGACCAAUAGGGUAAAAGCUAGCUUGAUUUUGAUUUUCAGUACGAAUACAAACGGUGGAAGCAUGGCCUAUCGGUCCUUUAGGUCUGAGAAGCGUUCAGCUAAAGGUCUCAGGGAAGUUACCAUA
rnacentral:ncRNA from 1 species